GUCCCCCUUUUGCCCUCUCUCCAAUCUAAAGUGUGAUAUCAGUUUCAUCAAAACUGGAGGAAUGCACCCCAAGUGAUGAUGAACAACUCAUGGAAUACAGACCAAGAGACUGGCACUGCGGACCAAGUCAAUGGUGAUUCAUCGCUGAAGCUAAGCUGCUAUGACCUAAUUAUCCCAUGUACAAAAAAUACAUUUUGAAAAGAAUCUGCCAUGGAUCCCUUCCUUCCCUCUGCUCAUGUCUGACUUCUCUACUGAAAACCUGUGUCACAAAAGAAAAGCAUCCAUGGGUCCUGUUGCACCUGCAUUUGAGCUAGGAUUGAGCAGGAGAGUUAGUUUUGCUAGUUAUAGUGACAGUUAAUAUUAAGAGGCCUUUUGGAGAACCACGGGCUUCCCCAUUAAAAUACAAUGACAAAACUGUUCAGAUUGAUAGAAAAUACUUGCAGAUGAGUAACUGUGGACAAGAGUUCCAUGGUGGAGCUAAUCAGGGCCAAUCCUACAAUUAGGCAGAAUGAAGC